UAAAGCUGUAAAAAAGAACGGUA
rnacentral:snRNA from 1 species